UUCACAAACAACAAAUCAAACGCACCCUUUCUAACAGGGCGGGCCUUUAAAUGUCUGCUCUGUUAGGCCAUGCUCGUGAUAGCCUACCUGUGGCUUUAAUGGACAGUCCCACCUUUGAAGAGGUUUCCAUGCAGAACUAUCGGAGUUUACAACAUCUGCAACUUUUCAAAUGGAGCUAUUCGCUUGUGCUGUGGAGUUUGCGUGAAUGCACGAGUUAUAACGACAUAAACAAUCAGGGGUGCUGGUGGCCCUCGCUGCUACAUUAGCGCUCUUACAUUGCAGGAGCCAGAGCGAAGCAGCAGCCUGUCAUUUGAAUGGCUGAACAGUCGGGAAGUCGUCUGCCAGCUCAUCAAAGCGUGGAAAAGGGCAGAGACUGUCGCUGUCGCUGCCACUGCCAGCGGUUCCUCUGCCAACGCAGGAUCUACAAAACAAAACAAGGCUGGUCAUUGUGGAUGGCAAGACAACAACAUGACACGCUGCCAGUGCACACUAAUGAGGAUGUUUAUUAUCUGCCAACUGCUGAGCCGACUAGCUGUGGCUGUGCAAGGUUCGGGGUCGUGUUCGUUUUCUCACCACUGAUGGCUGAUUGAUUGCUUCCUUCCAGUGUUGACAGCUUACAGUAGAGCAGGUGUGGAGACACUGCUUGCAACAUGUAAGAUGGGUAAAGAUAGAUUGUUCUGAUGGCAUCCUGUGGGAAAACGGGCAGACAGCUUUGCUACAGCUGUUACACAACACAUGAUUUGCUUUUCAGGCCCACAGUUGUGAAAUAUCACAUGUUCAAGCACCUUGUGAUUCUGGUGCUGACUAGCAAGGGAUGAUACGUUGAAUCAUUUAGUUGACUCUAUGCACACAUUUCUACAUGCAUUAACAAGAGGAGUCAAAGGCAGAUAGCGCCCUCUGCUGUCAUAAAAGGAAAUUGAAUUCAUUUUCCAUCUCACUAAUUUGAAUCACCUGUGUCCUGUAUUGAUUUUGAUCUGUCUUGCCAGGUACUGUCACAUCCCUUGAAGUCAGUUGUCACAAUCCUUGAGCAGCUUGUUAGACUCUCACAGAUGUGACAUUUCCUCACUAACCUUCUAAUCUUGUCUUUGCUUUGACGUGAUAUAUAGUGUAGUCUAAGGUUGAUGUGUACACCUCUGUUCCUGAUCCCUUCUUAGUUUAAAAUUAUAAAUUUUUAUCUUUGGCAUUCAUUUUACCUUUCUGAGUCAUGCUUUGGUUGUUAAUGGGCAUUAAAUCCAAUGCUCUAUGCUCCAAACAUCAUACUACAGUGCAUGUUUGUUUUCACACUUGAACCUGUUAACCCCAGGCUUUAAUCCUGAGUUAACAUUACCCCAGGUUAUCUUAACAUGUUUGACACUGUUUAUAUUUAGCCGAGGUUAGCCUGAGGCGGAGCUGUCCAGCCGCUGUGCUCCUGAUUACUGUUCAUCUGAGGUUGCUUAUAUUCUCUCCCAUUUCACAUAUGAUAGUUUAAGCUGAAAACUGAGCUUGUUUGACACCAGGCCAUGUGUUUGUAUUUAUAUGGAGAGGCCAUCAUAGAGCUUCAGCAUCUGAGUAGAAUCAAGCAAAGGAAGCAGAACAGGCUGCACACUUGACAUCUCAAACCAAAGGCCAAAUCGUUUGAGAAACAUUACAUAUUGUUUCAAGAGAGAUGGAGACCAUAUGUAAAAUUCUUUUGUUUGAAUUUCUUGCCAGCUCCUUUAAUAUAAUUAUUUAGUUAUAGUUAAAUGGAACAUUUUGUUCCUUUGAAGCUAUCUUGGGCAUAUUUGUACAAUGCCAAAAAAGACCUGUUGCAGUGAAUAGUCCAAGCCCAUGGUCUGUCAUUGAGGUGUAUCCAUGGUGCUUCUGUACUGACAGCUUGUAUGUUUUGCUAAUUUCCCUUCCUGUGAAGUAAUUAAAGUGAACGUUUUUCAACACCACUAA